GACGAACGCUGGCGGCGUGCUUAACACAUGCAAGUCGAACGGAAAGGCCCCCACCUUGGUGGGGGUGCUCGAGUGGCGAACGGGUGAGUAACACGUGGGUGAUCUGCCCUGUACUUCGGGAUAAGCUUGGGAAACUGGGUCUAAUACCGGAUAGGACCAUGGUUUAGUGUCUCAUGGUGGAAAAAUUAUUGUUUUGGUGCAGGAUGAGCUCGCGGCCUAUCAGCUUGUUGGUGGGGUAAUGGCCUACCAAGGCGUCGACGGGUAGCCGGCCUGAGAGGGUGGACGGCCACAUUGGGACUGAGAUACGGCCCAGACUCCUACGGGAGGCAGCGGUGGGGAAUAUUGCACAAUGGGAGCAAGCCUGAUGCAGCGACGCCGCGUGGGGGAUGACGGCCUUCGGGUUGUAAACUCCUUUCGUUAGGGACGAAGCCACACCUUUUUUGGGUGUGGUGACGGUACCUUUGUUAAGAAGCACCGGCUAACUACGUG
rnacentral:rRNA from 1 species